UCUUAACAUAUUACCUAUGGAUCCUAGGUUUUACAUCACAAGAAUUAGAAUGUCUGCGCAUACACUAAUAGUACAAACGGGUAGAUAUGGUCAAAAUAGAAUCCCAAGGAGUGAAAGAUAUUGUUUAUGUUGUAAUACUAUGGAUUUAGAAGACGAAUAUCAUUUUGUUUUGAUAUGCCCAUGCUAUGUUGACAUAAGGAAAAAAAUAUGUGAAACGAUAUUAUUACAAAUGUCCACCAAUGUGUAAAUAUUGGACUGAAUUCUUCUAAAUAAAGUUAUACUCACUAAUCUAGCUAAAUAUCUGAAAGAAUCGAUUAAAAUCAGGAACAUUACUGUUAGUACUAACAACUGAAUUUUGAUAUUUUGUUACAAAUUUAUACUAAAAAUUCAAUUUGUGUAUUUAUAUUGUAGUGAUGAUGCACUAUGUACAAAUCCAAAACAAAAUUGUUCUGUUCUGUUCUUUACAAAGUUUUAUAUCUUAUGUUUUAACUAUUUUUAUUCUAUCAUUCUAGACAAUUUGGAUAAGUCUUAUAAUCUAAUGUCAAAAUGCAAUAGAUUUCACUUAUCAAAAUGGUUUUAAAACACAAAAUUUACUUAAAUACUAAGAUGACAUAUUCAAAGAGAAAAUUAAAAUGAGGUGUUAACAGACCAGCUUCAAAUUUGCAUUUGAUAUAGAUUUUAAUCAUAUCUUUUCCGAUCCUAAACCAUUUUAUUCUUAUUAUAACAUAUUAAAUUUGCUUCAAUUGUUUUCUUUCUAAAUGUUGUGUAGCUUGAUAAUCUACCCAGUGCCAGUUGUAUGUAUAUUUUAAGUUAUGUUUUCCAUGUUGUUGUCAGCAUUUAUAGAACAGUUGUUGUAUAAUUAGUUAGAAGAUGGAUAGACACGUGACUUCUACAGUCUACACAAGGGGUAAUGGGAUGUGAGAGAAAAAUGGCUUUUUACGUAGAUAUAUCUUAUUGAAUGAAUAAAAACAAAACAAUUGGGUGUCUUUCCGGUUUGUUAAUACAACAGAAAUUGAUAUAUUAACAACACAAAUUUACAUCAUUGUUUUACAGCAUGAUUAUAAUAAAUGCACAUACAAAAGAGUUUGCUCAUACCAACAUUUUCUCAGGCGUUUCCCUAUUAUAUCAUUUCAAUACUAUUUCUUUUUAAUAUCUUUUUGAUAAUGUUUUAUGGACUUUAUAUAUCUUAUUUUCAGAGGAAGGGCUAAACAUAGUAUGGGAUGGUUGAUUGCAGAAGACAAUAUUAAGCAAGAGUCCAGCCUUUUAUAUUUUGGCGAACAUAAAUCAAUCCGUUGAUUGGAUGUGGCAAGAGUUUUCCAUAUUUCCAAGUUAGGAGAUGCUAAAUGGGUUCUGUUUGAAAAGAUCCAGCAUUUUUGAAAAGCAAUUAACAGAUGCGAAACAAUGUGUCUCUGUGAAAAGGGCAGGCUAAAGGUUUCAACAGCACCGGCCGAAAAAGUGGAUUUAUUAUUUCAGGAUUGAACAAGGGCAGGGCAAUAUGUAUUUAUACAUGUGUAUCGUUGUCAGACUAUAUGGAUAGUCGGGCCUCGGUGACAAAAAUGAUGAAACAACAUUGUGUUUUUUCAGUGUCUUAACAUUCAGAAGAUUCAUUUUAUUUUAAAAUGACUUUUUACAAUAUUUUUUUUUACAAAACUUCCAUGGUAAAGUUUAGCAUUGGUAAGAUAUUUACUUGAAGGAUUGAUUUUCAGAACAGAAAUGCAAAUACAAUGUAUAUAAAUAAUAAUUAUUUGUAUAAAAUGUAUUACAAUUUUGAAUUAUAAUAUAAAUUUAGAUAGAUUCAUACAACUUUAUUCUUGGUAGAGCUAACUUGUAAGAAUAUUUAAUGGAAUCUGACUUAAAGUAAAAAAAAUAUUUAUCAUUAGUGGGUGGGGUAAUGUUUUAUACCAGUCUAAAUGAUGAUGUAUAGAUUAUGCAGUGUUGCGACUUUUUGAAUGUAAUCAACAUUGCUUGAAGUGUUUUGGAUUAAAUAAAGCAUGUUUGUGUA